rnacentral:lncRNA from 1 species
CAUUAGUGAGGUUGGUUCUCGCAGACUUAACUGCUGACUCCACAUUUCUGGAAGGUUGGGUAGAUCCGUUGCUCUGCUCGAUCUGCUGAAGUAUGUUGAUGGCGCUGGGCCAAUAAAGGUUUCUGAAGUAUCUGAAAGCCAUCACCGGACCCAUAGCUACUGAAACAGUCAGCUGGGUGGAAGAAGACGUUUGCACCACCGUGCAGCGGGAAGAAUAAGGUCAGAACACAGUUUUAAUUAUGACAGUUAUAUAGCAAAAUGGACUCAAAUAAAUAAAUAGUUUCACGGUUAAAAGCGAUACUAGACUUACAGCCAUGGUGAUCCAGUAUGAAGGUUGACCGCACAGGCGAAACAUGAUUGUGUACAUCUCAAGGCUCGGGAUGGCACUGAGUAUUAAGUUGAUCAUGUAGAAGGCCACAAAGUUUCCCCAGAUGAGAGCGAUUUGAGGGUAAGUGAAUGAGCUGAAGGCGCAAAAGAUGAUGUCAGUGAUUGUUCUAUAAUAAAUCUCAUCCGCGUAGGCACCUGAUGAGAGCUUACUUUGUGUCCGUCGUCACAACAAAAGCCUGUAACCAAAUGCAUCCUGACAGCGCAACCAUUGAGAGUUCCUGCAUCUCACUUUUCUCAUCCGCGUAGGCACAUAUCGUAAUGAAGAAAACGACGAGCGCCUGAAAUUGAAAAAUUUUAGUCUCAUGAAAGAAAAUGUAGAUCAAAUGCAUCUAGAUGCCUAUGCAGUUCACAUGCAAUUCUCCCAUACAGCAAGAUUAACAGAUUGAAGCACAAUUUGUGCUAGAUGCAGUAAUGGAGCAACUGCAUAACUUUUAUUUGUAAUCCUGUAAUCCAGAUGCCAAGACAAUGCAGUAAUGCACACAACACAUGCUUACAAUACUAAUUCAUGUAUUCGGUGCAUGUUCAUGUCCAUUGGAGAACAAAGGUUGUAGAAUAAGAAGCUAAUAAUUAGGCAAGUAUCAUGUGUCUUCACUCGACAAAUGUGGUUCAGUUUACUGCAGAAGGUCGGCCUGCAGGCUCUUUCCCCACAACCUGCAGGCUCUUUCCCCACAACCCGAGGAUAAUUCAUUUGAUGAUUGGUGGGCAAGAGUAACUGAUAGAGUGAAUGGUCAGAUACAGAAAGGACUCAACUCAUUGAUCAAUUUUGGAAGCAUGGUCAGUCUGGAAUCAUCAUAAUCGCUGUGUGUUUGAGGGGGGCCUGCCUAACCUAAACUGAGUUAUGGCAUCCAUAAGAGAAGAGAUACACCUUUGGAGUUUGGCCGGGGCUCGAGGAAUUUCCCAUCUCCUUGCUCUAGUGCCAGUUAAUGACUAGGUCUUUUCUCAGGUCAAGGUCAAGUUUAUUUGUAUGAAAAAGCGAGUGUAGAGGGUGUGAGUGUGUUGUGUUGUACGGGUUUCUAAACCCUUUAAUCUUCUUCUUAAUAUAAAUGAUACGCAGCUCUCCUGCGUGUUCGAGAAAAAAAAAUUAGGCAAGUAGCAUGCAUUGUCCAUGAACAGAAUCGGGUACCAGAGCAAGAGAUAUAUGAACAGAAUAACUCCCUGAUCGUCUUCAAUAACCCAAAAAUUGCACCACACUUUGGUGACUCUUCAAGAUGUGUGAUGAGCCGAUGCCGGAUGAAAAAUAACAAGAAACAGAUAAAAGAUUACUUACAUGAUAUAGUGAGCGCCCAAACCAUCCACAAAAUGUAGUUGGAUUUAGAAGCCUGGUAAGAUGAUGGAAAUAAUAAUAUUAGCAAAACUUAUGUAAGAGUACCAAAAAUAUCAAAAGCACAGAAAGGCAAAAUUCUAUUUACCUCCCAGCUUGAGAGUGCAGUAAAAUCUGGGGGUACUGUAGAGCUGUUGCUUCAGAGAUAUCCUUGUCAAAAAUUAUAGUCAUCACAGGUAGACUUGUAUAGAAAACAUUAUAAGCCAUCAGGCUAACUGAAUUGAAUAAGCUAGUUCCUGAGAGCCCCGAAAAGAAGGCAAACCUGACAGAGGACUCAGGUGAGCAGUGUAGCCACAAAAUCCAUGCGAAAUUGCAAAGCAGUAGCAGAAGCUAAUAAUUAAAAGGGAACAGAGACUCACAGAAUUUGUAUAAAGCAUAUAAGAAGUGACUUGUAGAAGGAAUACUGUGAAAUAAAUGCCGUUCGAUUGUAUGAAUAACGACCAUGAACAAGUAUCAACCUCUUCAGAAACUUGAAUUCUGCAAAAUAAGAAAUAUCCACAAUGUGAUUUUUUCCAAAGAAAAAUUUAUUGACUUUGUAGGUAAAGUGCAAAAGGGUAAUAAAGUGACAAUUGCAACCAUUGAAUACUCAUAUAAUGGUAGUAAAGAUUGAAACUGUUAGCACAUCCAGAAUGGAUAAAAACAAUGUUUGCACAAGUUUGAAUCUGGUUUAGCAAAUUCCAUUAAAUCAAAUUACCAGAUUUCUGGAAGUACAUAGAAUUCAUCUGUACUAACUACAAGUAAAUAGAAUUACAAUGUAUAUUCCCUCACAACUAGGGAAAAGACCUUUCAGAGGCAGCAGAGCAGGUAAACAAAAUAACUAAUAUAAUGAAUUUGGCAAAACUAGAAUGAUGCUUACUCCCAAUGCUAUAAUCAGCAGCUCUUGCAGCUUGCAGUCCUUCCCUACCACUAAUCCCUACUCCAAUGUUAGCCUCUUGGAUCAUUCUAACAUCAUUACCACCAUCGCCAAUUGCUAGAGUUAGGUACCCAACGGACUUUAGGAUAGCAACAAGCUGCACAAAUGCAAACAAUAUAAUUUAAACCAAUCAACAUCUAUAUAACAACACCAUGUGUCAUGUUUCAAGGUGGAUCAAAAGAAACAGAAAAAUUGUCCAAAUCAAUGUCCAUUACAAAACUAUCUGCAUUCUUAUUUAUUUGAGCUAUUACUUCUGAUAAGAUAUUGAGCUGCACACUACUGAACCAUAGUGGUACAAUGGUAUCCCCAACAUUAUUUUCUCUGACAAUAGCCCAUCCAAUAUCUUGGUAUGGAAUCAUGAUAUAUGAUGAUUGCCGACCAUUCACUUGUAAAGGAUUGAUGUACAUGUCAAAUGGUAAAUAAAAAAAUGAUGAUAAACAACAAAAUACCUGUGCUUUCUGCAAAGGUGUCAUUCGACAGCAUAUUGCUGUUCUUGACAGCAUCGCCAACCUAGUGAAAGAUUCCUUGGAAUGCUUUAGAAUUAUUUCAAGUGCCCAACCAUCCAAAACAAAUGCAAGAUCCUGCAUGAACAGAUUUAAGAUGAAGCACUCCAACUCAGGUUUAACAUUGAAUCCAUGAUCUAGAAUGAAAUAUAGUCUCAGUUUGUUUGUUUGCUCAAGAGGGACGUUCAAAAAAUACGAUACAAAUAAGAUUCAGGUAGUUGAGUUGAAUACAGGACAGGGAAAAAGAUCCUCUAGAGCCUACAAAUAUGGAAGGGGAAUAUGUUCUGUGCAAGAUAUUAUUUCAGCAUCUGACUGACUGGUGCUAAAGCUGAAUAUAUUCUUACAGAACAUGGGGGGAAAGAGCUGAUAAAUACUUGUUUAAGUAAUUUACAAUUAAUUGGAAUCCAAGAUACAUACCUUUGUUUCACAUGUAUUCUUCGUAAUUAGUAAUGCCCUCUCUAGGCUUCUUAGUAUGUCCUCUUCAGUU